GGCAUCCACCAAGCGCCCGUACCUGGGCAAUGGGUCACCCUCGUGAGGAAGCGGGGUGAGCCGGCACCUGCGGGUGGCCGGGACUCCAGACUUGGGGGAGGCAAAGUCCAGCACUCUCCUGUCAAUGGUCUGACUCCAGCCCCGCAGUUUGAACACCGUCAAAGGCCUGUUGCGCGUCACCAGCUCCAGCUGGGAGAAGACCACGUCCACAGCCAGCGUGAAGGGCAGCACCAGCGCGUCCCCCUGCUGUGCCUCCCAUUGACUUCACACAACUGAAUUUCGGAGUAGAAGGGACGGUUGAUACAACUGGAACAGGAUACAUCCUGUCUCCUAGAAUUUGUGCUUUGACUCUCUGAACCUCAGUCUCAGAAUGUGACCAUAUUUGGAGAUAAGGCCUUGAAAAGUUCUAGGGCAGAGUCUUUUUCCCUAAGGUACUGUCUUGAAGCUCCAUGACCUGAACUAGUGUCUCAGUACAGCUUGAAAUUGAAUCAAGCUUCUACUGCAUGAGAAUCAAAGAUGACGCCACACACCUGCCCCAUGCUUCAUGUGAGACUAUGACCACCCAUCUUACAAAUGGCUGACACUGAGCACAGAAGAGGCUGUGCAAGAAAGCAGGAAUGUCUCCAACAACCACUCCCUUGCUCUAAGAAAGAAAUGACACCAAUUGGCAUGCAUUACUGAGUCAAUAAAGUAAAUAGGCUAAAAAUUGGAUAAUUAAGAACUGCCAAAAAAUCUUAAUAUUUUUUUUUCCUGAAGCCCAAUGUCAACAUGCAAACCUUCAUAUUGCUGUUUUUGAUGUUGGAUUAAUGAAUCGUAUACACCUGUACA